AGAAAAUAAACGACAAGAAAAGAUGGAAAAUAAAGAAUUGUAAAAGGAGUUUGGUGUUCUGUAGCAGAAAGACACCCACGGGAUUGGAGUGAAACGAGGGUGUCUGACAGUCGUGCUGCAUCUGAGCUUCCCUGUGGCUGACAGCAGGACAUACGAGGGGAAGGUGAGCCAUUUCCUGUUUCUGUGGCAACAGGGGGAGGUGAGCUCUGUUGCUAUGGCAACCAGGCAGCAACAGGAAGAAGGUCUUGAAUUAUGGUUGGGUUGGAGAGCUGGAUGAACUCUCUCUGCACGGUGACUGUUUAGUCACUCGGGGGCUUCAAAUGGACAGGAAGUGUGUGUGUGAACAUCGACUCUGAACAGCGGCGGCAGGAGCGCUACCAGUGUCUGGUCUCAUGGCAUCCAAACAAGCAAAACACAAACCCCGAGCAUGGAGACCUUCACCAAGACCUCUGAACCAGACGCUCAGACAGCUGAUCCAGAGUCAGUUCCUGCUAAUGUGAAUGAAGCUUUGUUUAGGAAAGUAAAAGCUGGUGCUGUAAUGGAGAUACCCUUGCUGUGAGCUUUACCUUUAUAUAGCUGUCAGCCCCUGCUCCGGUGACAUGUUUAAUAUUCAUGAGUUCAACUGGAAAGUUGCUUUCAAUAAUAGCUAAACGUUCACUGACGCACAGUUUGCUGGUGUCGCACAAUUUAUU